AAAGGCCAAAACGUGGAUUUUAUGAAACUAUUAAUUUAGAAUUAACAUGUGCUGAACCUGCAACGUACAAAAAUUGUUUAAGUAUGUAAUCAUCACACUUAGAUUAUUUAUUGAGUAUUGUUGGUCCAUCUAUUGUUAAAAAAAAUGUGUGCAUGAGAAAUGCUAUUCUUGCUGGAGAAUGUUUAACAAUAAUUUUGCGUUAUUUAGCAUCUGGUAAAAUUUAAAAUUAUUAAAUAUCUUUUCAUUUAUUUGUGUAAUAAACAUUUUUAUUGUUGACAGGGUUGAGUGAUUAAGGUUCAUAUGAUUAAGGUUAUGGGUACAUAACU